UAUCUCCAAAGGGAAAACCUGUCGGUGUGAAAUUUUCCAGAUUCUUUGGAGGCCAAAGGUUAUAAAAACACAAGGCACUACACAUGGUGAGAGAGGAAUGACUUGGGACUGAUGAAGGAGUUGCCUACCUAGCUGGGAAGUGUGACUGCAGGCUAGUCAAAGCUAUCCUGACCUGCUGCUUCCCCGACAUAUAUCUGAAGACCAAAUUAUUCGGGGCAUUGACAAUAUGGAUAGGGUCUAUUCUGAAACAGAUUGAGUAAAAGGGAUUUUGAAGCCAAGUCCUGAGAAUUCUAGUGUAACAAGUCCACUGGAAUCAACAGAGCUUUCUUCUGAGUAGAAUAGCAACUGAGAAAAGAUCAAAUCAGCUGCAUAACUGCUAUAUGAAGAAGUCACCUAUAUUUGUGAGUUCUUCACAAAUAUAGGCAGUAAGAGAGACACCUGGAAGGUCCCUUACAUAAGCAACCAAGUAAUAGGUCUCAAUGCAACUGAUACUUUGGAUUGGAUUGAAUAAAGUUGGAUUUCUUGAUUUUUUACUAGAAGAAAAAUCUGGAAGAAUUUAGAAGAAAAAUCAAGAAAAACCAGAUGAAAAAUAAGAGCUCAAAGCUUAAUUAGCUUUCCUGAUUAUGCUCAAAAGCUCCCUAUUUUCCCCCUGGACAGAAUAGUCAUGUGUUUUCUGUCUUGCAUGGAGUAGUGCUCUGUCUGCAAUGCAGGAGAACAUAAGGAACUUUGUCCAGGAUAGUAUACUACUAGCAGGACCUUUUGCUAGGAUGGCUGCUUUGUUUCCCCCUUAUUCCAAGGAAUUUCUGCAUGAAUGGCUGGAAACAGAUGGCACAUGUUGCAUUUUCAGGCUAACCAUGGGUAAUGGCAAGCUUCCUACUCUGUGGCUCGCAUACAAAAUGCAGCAGGCUGCCAAAGGUAGGAAAAAGUACUCAUGCUAUUAUUAUUAUUAUUAUUAUUAUUAUUAUUAUUAUUAUUAUUAUUAUUAUUAUUAUUAUUUUACCCCUCUAUUCUGCCUUGGUCAGACCAUACCCGGAAUACUGUGACCAAUUCUGGGCACCGCAACUGAAAGGAGAUGUUGCCUCCAAGCUAGAAUGUGUCCAGAGGAGGGUGACUAAAAUGAUCAAGGGUCUGGAGAACAAGCCCUAUGAGGAGCGGUUUAAAGAGCUCGGCCUGUUUAGCUUGCAGAAGAGAAGGCCGAGAGGAGACAUGAUGAGGGCCAUGUAUAAAUAUGUGAGGGAAGUCACAGGGAGGAGGGGGCAAGCUUGUUUUCUGCUGCCCUGGAGACUAGGACGCGGAACAACGGCUUCAAACUACAGGAAAGGAGAUUCCACCUGAACAUUAGGAAGAACUUCCUCACAGUGAGAGCUGUUCGACAGUGGAUCUCUCUGCUCCGGAGUGUGGAGGCUUCUUUGGAGGCUUUUAAACAGAGGCUGGAUGGCCAUCUGUCGGGGUGCUUUGAAUGAGAUUUUCCUGCUUCUUGGCAGGGGUUUGGACUGGAUGGCCCACGAGGUCUCCUCCAACUCUAUGAUUUUAUGAUUCUGUUUGAAAUCAGGCCCUCUCAAAUAGUCUUAUGAACAAGAAGGGAACAAAAUGGCCCAGUUCAUUUUUGGAUAGAGCAAUGGAAUGCUACGUUAGUUCCUUAUUUUGAAAUGCACCAAGCUGUGAUAGCAGCAACCAUAUUAAAAAAAUAAAAAAUAAAAAUGAAAGCACUCGGUUUGAAACCUGCUUAUGAGGACUUACUUGCUGCAUGCAACCUGUAUAGCAUACGGCAAAUGGAGACAUUCCAUCAAAGAAAGGAAUGGGCUUGGAAGAUAGAGCCAGUGUUUUGAAGACAGAGCCAGUGUUUUGAAGACAACCUGGCUCCCUGCCACAGAACCGGGCAAUUGCUGCCAACAACGGGCAAAGCCAGAACCAGGUAAAUAUUUGAGAAUGUGGUAAGCCACGUGAACACGCUGAAAGAAGCAAACUUGCUCAGCAACAGAUGCUGGGGUCAGGAUAGGAGUUCUUUAGCAGGGCAAGACAGAUACUAAUAAGUAAGGUAAAGUUAAAGGUUAUCCCUUGACAUUAAGUCUAGUCGUGUCCGACUCUGGGGGUUAGUGCUCAUCUCCAUUUCUAAGAUGAAGAGCCGAUGUUGUUCGUAGACACCUCCAAGGUUAUGUGGCCAGCAUGACUGCAAGGAGUGCUGUUCCCUUUCCACUGGAGCAGUACCUAUUGAUCUACUCACAUCUUUGCAUGUUUUCAAAUUGCUAGGUUGGCAGAAGCUGGGGCUAAAAGUGGGAGGUCACCUGGCUCCCCACAUCUGAACUGCCAACCUUUUGGUCAGCAAGUUCAGCAGCUCAGCCGUUUAACCCACUGCGCCACCGGGAGCUAAUCAAUGGCAUUUCCCAAAUCACUACUAGUGUGGGACGGAUGGAUGAACUGACAUUUUUAUGGUGACUUACAGAAAUGGUUUGCUACUCAGCCAUCCAAAACUGUUACUUUCUAUGUGUAAAAGGAGUCAAUUUCCUCUAUUUGUGAAUGAAUCACUGAUUUGGGGACAUUACCUUGCUCCAAAGCCAAAGCAGUAAAUAGUGUGGGAAAGACAGCAAAUAGCUCAGACUAACAGGAACAUUUAUUUCAUUUUAAUAGUGCACAAGGAGUUUGCAGCACAUGGAUUUGCCCCAGAACAGAGUUUGGGAACUGGAGCAAAACAUACACUCUGCUACUGGCGGAGGCUGUUUCAAACAGCAUCCAUAGUUCUUCAGAAACUUGUUAGAGGAGUGGGAUUCAGUGAGAAAGAAAAUCAGUAUGGCAGACAAUAUCCUUGAUUGACAGACUGCCAGGAAACAGAGGCAAAAUCAGCAGUUAAGAAUUUUAUACUGUUUUAUUUUACAUUUUAUUAUAUUUUUCACUACCACACUGUAAAAAGGCCAUUUCAAGAGACAGACAUUGACCUCCCUGUUUCUCAUGAUCCCUAACAGUCUAAUGCGGUCAUAACGAUAGCUCUCAUUGCGCAGCCCACUGCCUGUGUGCUUCUAAUUCCUAUGACACCACAGAAACCACUGGGUUCUGUGACUAAAGUGGAGCAGGUCCUUCCUUAGAAAACAAUCAAAUCCCUCUAGGUUUUCCCUAAAUUCAGCCCAUAGAUCUUCCAAGCAAUGUAGACAAUUGGGUAACUGUGAGUUUUCCUCAGAGGUUGUGAGGUAUGUUGGAAACUAGACAAGUGGGGUUUAUAUAUCUAUGGAAUAACCAGGAUGGGAGACAGAACUCUUGUCUGCUUGAGGCAGAAGUGCUGGACCAUUCUAACUGCCACCACGUCAGACUUCACAGAGAAGCCAUUGAAAUCCACAAGCAUGUGAACAAUUUCAACAGAAAGGAGGAAAUCACGAAAAUGAACAAAAUCUGGAUACCAGUAUUAAAAAACUCUAAAAUCAGAACAGUAAAUAAAGAACAACAUUUAAAACAGGGGCAUUCCAGACAAGAAACAAUCAGGUCCAGCUAACAUCUUCCAACAAAGGAUUCCCCCAGGCAGUGAGUAGUCAGACCUUGAAGCUGCAAGGCUAUUCAAUGUUAAUCAAGCUGGCCAACUGCAACAUUCACACAUGCCACAGGCAGACAAGAGUUCUUUCUCCCACCUUGUACAUUCCACAGAUAUAUAAACUCCACUUGCCUAGUUUCCAACAGACCUCACAAUCUCUGAGGAUGCCUGCCAUAGAUAUAGGCGAAAAAUCAGGAGAGAAUGUUUCUGGAACAUGGCCAUACAGCCCGGAAAAUUCACAGCAACCCAAUGAUUCCGGCCAUGAAAGCCUUCGACAAGACAAUGUAGACAGUUCUUUCAACAGACUAUCGUCAUGAGCUAUUUUGUUCUGUUAAUCAAAGUUCCCUUCUUAUUUGGCAACCAAGAAUGCAGGCUGGUUAAUGGGCAAUCAAGGCAGAAGGCCAUGUCUCUUUUGGAUUGACUACAUCUACCUGCAGAGUGCAUUGGCUUUGUCUAAACUGGUGCCAAGAAACAUGGAAUUGAGGUGUGGGGGUUGCAAUUGAAAUUUAGCUUAUGUGAAUAGCAGCUGCAUGGUUCUAAUGUAGGCUUUCAAAAUGUAGAAAUAGCAUUAUUGCUUUGGGACAAAUUACUGUGUGCCUGUUUCAGGAAUAUAUGCUCAGCCAGUAACAAAUAUAAAGUUACCAAACAUAUGAAAGAUCCAAUAUUCUUUCCUCCAAAGGAAAUUGACUUUGUACAGAUUCCCUGGGGAGGGACACUUUCCUCUGAGAUCAUUAGGCCAAUGCAAAACCAUAUUCCGAGAUCCUUUUUCUUACCCGAGUCCCACAUUAACACACACUAUUUAAUUACCUCCAUUGGUGAAUGCAUUUGUUUCCAAAUUCAAACUGUCCGUGGAGCCAGCUUGGAAAGUGACAUGGAUCCCUUGGCAAGGGGCAGUGAGGUUUUCCACAGAAUCACUGCUGUGCCUCUCAAAUUCCGAUUUACUUUGGUUCAUAUUCAGAAAAUGCCUGGAAAUUGCAGGGAGAAAUAAAAUGCAAUGAGAAUACUAUACGUUGAAACAAGAUGUGGUCUAUAUAAAAAUCCCUAUGGUUCAGCUAGCUUUGUUGCAAUUUGUUUUCCUCUUUUCUCUGGUCCUAAUAUUGUUGCUGUUGUUGUUUUGUGCACUUGUAUUACCUGUGUGCCCCCGGUGGCGCAGUGGGUUAAACCCUUGUGCUGGCAGAACUGAUUACUUGAAGGUUGGGAUACUGACCCGAAGGUUGCAGGUUCGAAUCCAACCUGGGAAGAGCGCGGAUAAGCUCCCUCUAUCAGCUCCAGCUCCAUGCGGGGACAUGAGAGAAGCCUACCAUAAGGAUGGUAAAAACAUCAAAAUACCUGGGCGUCCCCUGGGCCACAUCCUUGCAGACAGCUAAUUCUCUAACACUAGAAGCGACUUGCAGUUUCUCAAGUUGCUUCCGACAUGUAAAAAAAAACUGUGUGUAAAGAGACCCCAUCUGCACUGACAUAUAAUGCAGUUUGAACUGCAUUAUAAUGGUCAGUCAGCAGUUCAAAGUGUAUUAUUUGUCAGUGCAGAUGGGGCCUCUUUGCACACAGGUAAUACAAGUGCACAAAACAACAACAGCAACAAUAUUGGGACCAGAGAUGAUAAUAAUAAGACUGAAUUGCAUUGAACUGAAUUUUAUAAGUCUAAAUAGCCAAAUUUUUUCCAUGCUCCUUUUUAAUGAGUAUAGGUUCCCUUUAAAUAUCUUCCAAUACACACUAAGUAGGUAAUCAGAUGUAACAUGCACCCACGAUCACCCUUAGAAAAUAGGAUGUGUACAUAAUUUACAGUGGGAAGAAUCCUAAAAGCCCUUACCUUGUGUCCACAGUUUUUUUUUACAUCAGUGAAUUUCAGAGGCAAGCUGAUGCAUAUACCUGCAAAUAUCCUAUUUAAUGUUAGGCCCUCUGGGGUGCCUCGCUGCUACUAUUCUCAUAUCUGCAUCUGCAACAAAACUAAGUAGGGUUUUUCCAUUUCUGAAAUGCUAUUCUCUGCAUGCGGAAGGCAAAGUGGCAGAUUCUCUUGUAUUGUCUUCACAGAAUACCUUUGCAAUAAGCACUUAGGAGCACUGUGCUGAUAAAUCGCAAAAGGAAUGCUCACUGACAAGGCAAAGCUCCUUUCUGAUUAAACAGGACCUCCUACCUACCUCUUUAUCUGUAGCUCAAAAGCAAAACAAAAGCUCACAUAGUCAUUUUCCCACCAAGCCAUUAUUCACAGAGAAAAUUUGCAACUUUUUUCCUGUAUAAAAAUGUUCUGUUAUACUCAAAUAGCAUUGCUUUGUUAAAAAAAAAGGCACAAACAUAUUUCUCAGUCCCAUUUAUACAGUUUCUCUUGAUUUCAGUGGAUAUGAUUAUACCAGCAUUGCCUCCGGAAAAUCCUGCAAAUCUUUUGGGAAGACAGGAGGACAAAUGUCAGUGUGCUGGAAGAAGCAAAGACCACCAGCAUUGAAGCGAUGCUCCUUCGCCAUCAACUCCCCUGGACUGGCCACGUUGUCCAAAUGUCUGAUCGCCGCCUCCCAAAGCAGUUACGAUACUCCCAACUCAAGAAUGAAAAACGGAAUGUUGGUGGACAGGAAAAGAGAUUUAAAGAUGGGCUUAAAGCUAACCUCAAAAACGGUGGCAAAGACACUGAGAACUGGGAAGCCCUGGCCCUUGAACACUCUAACUAGAGGUCAGCUGUGACCAGCAGUGAUGGGAAUUCAAAGAGGCACGAAUGGAGGGCGAAAGGGGAAGGCGCGUCAAGCCAAGCCUGACCAGGACCACCUUCCACCUGGAAUCCGAUGUCCUCACUGUAGAAAAACAUGCGGGUCAUGAAUAGGGCUCCACAGUCAUCUACAUAUCCACUGCCAAAAUACUACACUUGGAGGACCAUCAUACUCAGAUAACGAGGGAUCGCCUAAGUAGUAGACCUAUAAUGAUAAUUCGCACAACUAUUACAAGUUGAGAAUGCCUUAUCUGGUAUUUUGGAAUGCAAAAUAUUUCAAAAUCCAAAAUUUUCCACAUGUGAUGCAUUUGUUUUCUGAUGGUACAACGUUAACAGACUGUUUCAUGUACAAAACUCUUUAAAAUAGCAUUUAUAAAAAUC